rnacentral:lncRNA from 10 species
AGUGGAACAACUGGAUAUACAAAUAUGAAAAAAAGUGUCUGGAACACUUCUUCACACUAUACAAAAAUCCAUUCUAGGAGGGAUUAAGUCCUUACUUUAAAUAUUUUAUGAUGAAAAUGUUUAAACUUACAAAAUAGUAGAGAAGAAUAAAAAUAAUUUUACAUAUAUGUUUUUCUCAACUAGGGAGACAACAGCACUGGGCAAGCAGGACGUAUGGAAGUUAUGUACUGAAAGACUGGUGACACUAGUCAAGUGAAUAACAGUAGGGCUGGCUGGGUAACAUGUGAGCUGGAGAGGAAGAGAUGAAAUGGUAACACUUUUGGCUUAGAAACUUGGAACAUAAAGAAUGAAGAAAAACCAGAAGGAAGAGUUACUAUCUGGCAGGAACACAUUUUCCCCCUUAGCCCUGAAGAGUACGCAGACCAUUGUUAGCAAGGAAGCUAGCUUGUUUUUUGCACCAAAGGAAAGCUAAGGGAACCUCCUAAAAUGCCAUGUACGGGUAGAGAAGAGAUCAUGGUUGAUAACAACAAACAAAAAGGUGUUACAAAGAAGUGCAAGGAAUAGAGGGAACAUAAAACAUUGGAAAUGAACCUGCUCUGGGGAUCAGAGGAUGCUUUUCCAAGAAAGCGACUUUAUCCUGUAAGAUAAAGGAGAGAAUUUUGCUUCUUAAAAGUGAGAAAAGCAAAAGGAAGAGGGAGGAAAAGAAGAGUGUUUCUGGUGUGGAGCAUGUGCAAAAGCCUGAGACAGAAUGGAUUUUGGAACACUGGAGGAAAUUAAAGGCCACUGAGUAUUAUUGGUGCAGAGUAACUGAGAGGUAGAAUUGCAAAUCAACACUUUGGGGAGAUGGACAGUGAUCGUAUCAGCUAAGGCCUGGUUGCCAAUUUUCUCAUUUCUUUGAUUUUAAAAUAACAAAUACAUUUUAAAUACAAUUCAACCCAUUUAAAAUAUUGUGUAAAAUUGUUUAAUAUAUAUCUCUUUUGUAAAGUGAGAAAAAUAAUAUGUAAAGCUGAGAUUAUCAAAAUGUUUGAAAUACUGAUGUUAACCUGCCCCUGAGUAUAUAUGCCAUAUCAUUUUUAUGUAUGUGUGUGCACGUGUACAUUCUAUUACUGAUAACUUCAGAAUUGUAUAAGCUCUUUCUCAAGGGACACAUAUGUCUCCUAUAAUACUCAAAAUAAAAAACUAUUUUGCUGGCAAAACAUUUAAAAAUAUUAUCUGGUUAGUUAUGACGCUGCUGGGAAAGUGACAUAAAUUGUAAGGACGACAUUAAUUUUCUAGGGCAGUUCCAAACAUUAUAUACUUAGUUCAUGUACUACAGAGUAAAGAAAAAAUUCUAGUGUUCCCAGCCCAGAUUCUGACUCAAACAUUUUAUUUUUCCUCAUGCAGAGGCUUAAUCAGGCCAAUUGAACACAAUAAGGAAUUCAAUCUUAUAUUUAUAAGUAAUCUUGAAUAAUAAAUUAUUCAUAGACAUAAGAGAAAUAAAUUAUCCUCCCUAGACAUUGUAUCAUGAAGAUAUAUACCCUUUAUAUCAAUAAACUAUCUGUAGAAUUUACU